UACGGAGGGAGCUAGCGUUGUUCGGAAUUACUGGGCGUAAAGCGCACGUAGGCGGCUUUGUAAGUUAGAGGUGAAAGCCCGGGGCUCAACCCCGGAAUUGCCUUUAAGACUGCAUCGCUUGAAUCCAGGAGAGGUGAGUGGAAUUCCGAGUUUAGAGGUGAAAUUCGUAGAUAUUCGGAAGAACACCAGUGGCGAAGGCGGCUCACUGGACUGGUAUUGACGCUGAGGUGCGAAAGCGUGGGGAGCAAACAGG
rnacentral:rRNA from 1 species